rnacentral:rRNA from 1 species
UACGUAGGGUGCAAGCGUUGUCCGGAUUUAUUGGGCGUAAAGAGCUCGUAGGCGGUUUGUCGCGUCGGAUGUGAAAACCCAGGGCUCAACUCUGGGCCUGCAUUCGAUACGGGCAAACUAGAGUAUGGCAGGGGAGACUGGAAUUCCUGGUGUAGCGGUGAAAUGCGCAGAUAUCAGGAGGAACACCGGUGGCGAAGGCGGGUCUCUGGGCCAAAACUGACGCUGAGGAGCGAAAGCGUGGGGAGCGAACAGG